rnacentral:rRNA from 1 species
AGAGUUUGAUCCUGGCUCAGGAUGAACGCUGGCGGCGUGCCUAAUACAUGCAAGUCGAGCGGUAAGGCCACUUCGGUGGUACACGAGCGGCGGACGGCUGAGUAACACGUAGGAACGUACCCCAAACUGAGGGAUAAGCACCAGAAAUGGUGUCUAAUACCGCAUGUGCUCUUCGGAGUAAAGCUUCGGCGGUUUGGGAACGGCCUGCGCAUGAUUAGCUUGUUGGUGAGGUAAUAGCUCACCAAGGCGACGAUCAUUAGCUGGUCUGAGAGGAUGAUCAGCCAGACUGGGACUGAGAACGGCCCAGACUCCUACGGGAGGCAGCAGUAGGGAAUUUUCCACAAUGGACGAAAGUCUGAUGGGGCAACGCCGCGUGCAGGAUGAAUGCCUUCGGGUUGUAAACUGCUUUUAUAUGUGACGAUUAUGACGGUAGCAUAUGAAUAAGGAUCGGCUAACUCCGUGCCAGCAGCCGCGGUCAUACGGAGGAUCCAAGCGUUAUCCGGAAUUACUGGGCGUAAAGAGUUGCGUAGGUGGCAUUGUAAGUUGGUAGUGAAAGCGUGCGGCUCAACCGCAUACACAUUACCAAAACUGCAAAGCUAGAGGAUGAGAGAGGUUAUUGGAAUUCCUAGUGUAGGAGUGAAAUCCGUAGAUAUUAGGAGGAACACCGAUGGCGUANGCAGAUAACUGGCUCAUUCCUGACACU